rnacentral:lncRNA from 1 species
AAAUUAUUCGUUUUUGCUAAUUUCUUUAAUUGCCUUUUAAACAGAAAUGCAAUUGUCUUUACAGGUUCAUUGGCACCUGCUUUGCUUUGUUCUGGUAUAUUUUCUCCUUAGCGCAUGUCGCAAUCUUUGUCACAAGAUUUAGCUAUGGAGAAGAACUGCAGUCCUUUGUGGGAGCUGUCAUUGUUGGUACAUACAAUGUGGUGGUUGUGAUUGUGCUUACCAAACUGCUGGUGGCAAUGCUUCAUAAAAGUUUUCAGUUGAUAGCAAAUCAUGAAGACAAAGAAUGGAAGUUUGCUCGAGCGAAGUUAUGGCUUAGCUACUUUGAUGAUAAAUGUACAUUACCUCCACCUUUCAACAUCAUUCCUUCACCAAAGACUAUCUGCUAUAUGAUUAGUAGCCUCAGUAAGUGGAUUUGCUCUCAUACAUCAACAGGCAAGGUCAAACGGCAAAACAGUUUAAAGGAAUGGAGAAAUUUAAAACAGAAGAGAGAUGAAAACUAUCAAAAAGUGAUGUGCUGCCUAGUGCAUCGUUACUUGACUUCCAUGAGACAGAAGAUGCAAAGUACAGAUCAAGCAACUGUGGAAAAUCUAAAUGAACUGCGUCAAGAUCUGUCAAAAUUCCGAAAUGAAAUAAGAGAUUUACUUGGCUUUCGGACUUCUAAAUAUGCUAUGUUUUAUCCAAGAAAUUAACCAUUUUCUAAAUCAUGAAGAGAAUAAUUUUCAAUAACAGAUCCAAAAGACUAUAUUGCAUAACUUGCAAUGAAAUUAAUGAGAUAUAUAUUGAAAUAAAGAAUUAUGUAAAAGCCAUUCUUUAAAAUAUUUAUAGCAUAAAUAUAUGUUAUGUAAAGUAUGUAUAUUGAAUUAGUUUUUUAAAACCUUCUCUUAGUGGCUUUUUGCAGAAGCAAAACAGAUUAAGUAGAUUUUGUUAGCAUGCUGCUUGGUUUUCUCACUUAGUGCUUUAAAAUGUUUUCUUUUUAUGUUUUAGAGGGGCAGUUAUAAUAAAAUGAAGAUCGGCAAAUGUGGGCUGAUCUCCUUCAUAGGAUACACUUGAAAUAUAGAAGUUAUGUUUUAAAUAUCUGUUUUAGGAGUUCACGUAUGGUUCAGUAUUAAGUUUAGGAGUAUAAUUUUAUCUAAAAUAAUAGUCUAUUUUUUUCUUUUGUAUUUUGUUAUAAUCUUA